UUGCAUCAAGUGUCUCGUUAAACUUUUUAUCUCUGAGGUAUAUCUGUUCUUCUAUCCCUUCGGGGUAUCUAUUUUCUCUUCCCCCAUUUGGUUUGAAAAGACGUAAGAGGACCGCUUCUAGUGAAUGACGACAUACCCUUUGACAAGAGUGGUACACGAAUAUCUGUUAGGGGUCACCCUUGAUUAAGUACUGUCGUGACUGUAGAUAUCUGAUAGGGGUACUAUGGCUGGUACGGUCAUGGUUGUAGAUCAUACCAUGGUUUGGCCAGGCGAAAAUGGGCCUGAGUAAAUUGCCAUAUCUAUAUCUGAUCUGGUUAU
rnacentral:lncRNA from 1 species